rnacentral:rRNA from 1 species
GUGGCAGACGGGUGAGUAACGCGUGGGAACGUGCCCUUCAGUUCGGAAUAACCCAGGGAAACUUGGGCUAAUACCGGAUACGUGCGAGAGCAGAAAGAUUUAUCGCUGAAGGAUCGGCCCGCGUCUGAUUAGCUAGUUGGUGAGGUAAUGGCUCACCAAGGCGACGAUCAGUAGCUGGUCUGAGAGGAUGAUCAGCCACAUUGGGACUGAGACACGGCCCAAACUCCUACGGGAGGCAGCAGUGGGGAAUAUUGGACAAUGGGCGCAAGCCUGAUCCAGCCAUGCCGCGUGAGUGAUGAAGGCCUUAGGGUUGUAAAGCUCUUUCGUCCGGGACGAUAAUGACGGUACCGGAAGAAGAAGCCCCGGCUAACUUCGUGCCAGCAGCCGCGGUAAUACGAAGGGGGCUAGCGUUGUUCGGAAUCACUGGGCGUAAAGGGCGCGUAGGCGGCUUUAUAAGUCGGGGGUGAAAGCCUGUGGCUCAACCACAGAAUUGCCUUCGAUACUGUAGAGCUUGAGACCGGAAGAGGUAAGUGGAACUGCGAGUGUAGAGGUGAAAUUCGUAGAUAUUCGCAAGAACACCAGUGGCGAAGGCGGCUUACUGGUCCGGUUCUGACGCUGAGGCGCGAAAGCGUGGGGAGCAAACAGGAUUAGAUACCCUGGUAGUCCACGCCGUAAACG